CCUACGGGAGGCAGCAGUGGGGAAUAUUGCGCAAUGGGCGAAAGCCUGACGCAGCGACGCCGCGUGAGGGAUGAAGGUCUUCGGAUCGUAAACCUCUGUCAGCAGGGAAGAACGGUCACUGUGCUAAUCAGCAGUGAAUUGACGGUACCUGCAAAGGAAGCACCGGCUAAUUCCGUGCGAGCAGCCGCGGUAAUACGGAGGGUGCGAGCGUUAAACGGAAUUACUGGGCGUAAAGCGCUCGUAGUCGGUAUGGCAAGUCAAGGGGUAAAUCCCCGCGCUCAACGUGGGAACUGCCUUUGAAACUGGCAAACUGGAGUGUGUGAGAGGCUAGUGGAAUUCCAGGUGUAGGAGUGAAAUCCGUAGAUAUCUGGAAGAACUUCAGUGGCGAAGGCGACUAUCUGGCACAUAACUGACGCUGAGGAGCGAAAGCGUGGGUAGCAAACAGGAUUAGAUACCCUUGUAGUC
rnacentral:rRNA from 1 species